rnacentral:rRNA from 1 species
UACGGAGGGUGCAAGCGUUAUCCGGAUUCACUGGGUUUAAAGGGUGUGUAGGCGGACUUUUAAGUCAGUGGUGAAAUCUCCAGGCUCAACCUGGAAACUGCCAUUGAUACUAUUAGUCUUGAAUUCUGUUGAGGUGGGCGGAAUACAUCAUGUAGCGGUGAAAUGCUUAGAUAUGAUGUAGAACACCGAUUGCGAAGGCAGCUCACUAAACAGCGAUUGACGCUGAGGCACGAAAGCGUGGGGAUCAAACAGG